AAAGUGAAAUGGCGCAGACUGUGAAGUGCGCAAAGUAUUCGCCAUCGAAGUCUUGCGGCCUCCCUGCCUGUAGGGUGUGGUUGGCACGAUGAAAGUCUUCUAUCUUUUGUCUUCGUGCCCCUUGUUGUUGACCAAGUAGUCGGCGAGGCAGGUUGUCCAGACAGGGCAUGGAACCCUUCAAAGGACGAUGCAAAGCACCGCUGCGUAUACUUCUGUCAGGCAGGAAAUGGCUGGGCGAUGGGCCAUUUCUAUAAUUUUACCAGGUGCUGGUACAAUGAAAAAACCGAUGGAACGUGCUAUAAUGGCUACUGCUAUCUAACACUGCCGGAUAACGUGACGUCCUCUGGUCAUCCGGUCACGAAUGAAGUCACUACAGCGGAGAAUCUGCCUGAAAGUUCGCCUUACACUGAGUCAGCACUCGGCACUGAGACCGUGUCCGACACUAAACCCUCAACCACCACCAAACGCUCGACACCUAAGCAAAAGAAGAAGAAAAAGAAGGAACAUAAGGAAACGGAGGAUGGCAAGAAGCAAGUUAAGGAAAAGAAGAAAAAGAAGAAGAAGGUUGAAACAACAACCGCUCAAGAAUGGUAGAGAGCAACACUUUAAAGUUGUUUUUUGAUGAAUAAAGUCUGCAUUAUGACUCCACGCCCACCCCCCAUAAUUAAAAAAAAAAUAAAAAGAUAAAAUGUA